rnacentral:rRNA from 1 species
AACGAACGCUGGCGGCAUGCCUAACACAUGCAAGUCGAACGAGACCUUCGGGUCUAGUGGCGCACGGGUGCGUAACGCGUGGGAAUCUGCCCUUGGGUUCGGAAUAACAGUUGGAAACGACUGCUAAUACCGGAUGAUGACGUAAGUCCAAAGAUUUAUCGCCCAAGGAUGAGCCCGCGUAGGAUUAGCUAGUUGGUGAGGUAAAGGCUCACCAAGGCGACGAUCCUUAGCUGGUCUGAGAGGAUGAUCAGCCACACUGGGACUGAGACACGGCCCAGACUCCUACGGGAGGCAGCAGUGGGGAAUAUUGGACAAUGGGCGAAAGCCUGAUCCAGCAAUGCCGCGUGAGUGAUGAAGGCCUUAGGGUUGUAAAGCUCUUUUACCCGGGAUGAUAAUGACAGUACCGGGAGAAUAAGCUCCGGCUAACUCCGUGCCAGCAGCCG